rnacentral:rRNA from 1 species
CCUACGGGAGUCAGCAGUGGGGAAUUUUGCGCAAUGCUCGUAAGAGUGACGCAGCGACGCCGCGUGAAUGACGAAGGCCUUCGGGUCGUAAAGUUCUUUCGACAGGGAAGAAAAUGCCUAUAAGUAACUGUGUAUGUAUUGACGGUACCUGUAUAAGCAGCCCCGGCUAACUCCGUGCCAGCAGCCGCGGUAAUACGGAGGGGGCGAGCGUUGUUCGGAGUGACUGGGCGUAAAGAGCACGUAGGCGGUGUUGUAAGUCAUUAGUCAAAGACUAGAGCUCAACUUUAGUAAGGCUAGUGAUACUAUAAUACGAGAGUAUCAGAGAGGAUUGCAGAAUUCCUGGUGUAGCGGUGAAAUGCGUAGAUAUCAGGAGGAAUACCGUUAGCGAAGGCGGCAAUCUGGCUGGAAACUGACGCUGAGGUGCGAAAGCGUGGGUAGCAAACAGGAUUAGAUACCCCAGUAGUC